rnacentral:lncRNA from 1 species
UUCCAAUAAAAGAUCAUACAUAUUUAGGAGCAUUUUUUAUUGCUUUUUGCACCAAUGACAACUUACUUGAAGGAUCUUAUUCAAUCCAUAGGUAGAUAUGGUGGACUCUCAUGGCAAGAAACUAGGUUCAAGGAUUUGGAUGCACAAGUAGUAUCUACUUAGUACGAAGUUUUGGCUAGCAAAAGAUUCUAAACAAGCACCACAUGUUAGAGGAUCCAUGACAAUAUAACUGCUAUGUAAAUAUAAACAAACAUAACCAUUAAGUUGUCUUCCUUGUCCAACGUCAACUACUUGAUCAAGUUUGAAAAUAAUUAGUGGGGCUCACAAUCAUAGAAGAUGUCCAAGGUAGUAUAUCUAUAUGUGAAACCUCUCUUCGUUCAAUGUUCUUUCAUGAAUCGCUUAAAUGACCGAUG